UGAAACGUUAACAACGACGAGAACGGCAUUUCCUCACGCGUAGUCUUAUGGCCUCCGAGAUUUGCGCGCGAAGUUGGCGCGCGCGAACCUGGGAGGCCACACUUGGCCGCUUAAUAGCAUAAAAAGACAAAAAGAUAAUGCGAAACGACAGAGUUAAAAAUUCACACAAAGAACUGAUCUUAGCUAUACUGUUUGGGGAAAAGAAAUAAAAAAAUUAGACAGCCGCAACACACGCCACUAAAGCCACCACCGCCGGCAUAACGCGGAACCAACAGUUGGCAACAUUCAUUCGCGCUUCAUUGUCCGCUUCGUCUCCGCAACGAGAGCCGCCAUCCUUUCGCGCCGGCCGUUUUGUCAUAGUUUUGUUUUUCUGCAAGUCCGCGCACGCAGCUCAUCGGUAGAUGCACGGGUGCACGGCGUCGUAUUGCGACCUGCGGCAUUUUCUUGUGUUCGCGCAAUCGGUGUGAAACAUGUCGCUAGUGAAAUAUUUGAUAGAAGUGCCUCACGUCCAAGUCAAGCCGCCGUACGGGUGUAUGGCUGUGUGCCCCGUUAUCGGAAGCGUCGACGGGGUUCCGGCAUGCGGAUUUCAGCGUUUGGACUCGAGUUUUGGUGAGGAUGUCGAUCAACCUUGGGCCUGGUGACAGUACACCCGACAUGGCCAAAAUGCAGCCUAUCAGCUGAGUGCCCCCGAAUGGACCAUCAACAUCGGAAAAUGAAACAGAGCCAGGGGGAAAAGGUUCCGGUAACACCAUGCAUUCAGUAUGGUGGCCCCGACGUGUAUGCAAGCAACCUCCUUCAUGUGGACCAAGAACUACUCUGCAGUGUCUCGCAGACUUCCAUGCGAAGUCCUCAACAUUCUCGUCUCAGUGGAAUGGCUGCUCAUCUAUCUGCAUGUCCAUCACCAAGACGGCCAGUUGUAAAGCUCCUGUACCCGUUUAAGAAUGCUUAACAAUUUUUUUAUUUAGUUUUCACGGUUGGCCGUAGAAUCUUAACAUUUUUGAUUUUUCUAACAAUUUUACCUGGCACAAAGUGGUGCAAUAACUUUCAUCCAGUGUAAUGUAUUUAAGUGAUGCUCACUCUAAUGCCUAUCUGGUUUUGUUAGUGUAAGAAAUUUGUAUGUCUGAUGAGGUAACAGCAUUUGAAUUUGUCAUCGUGGCUCGUUUCAAUGAGCUGCUAGGAAAUAAGACGCAAAACUUAUCACACGCCAGUUGUAGCAUUUUUGUUUUCAUGACUACAGUAUACACGUUUCAAAAGAUGGAAAGUGGGGAAAAAAAGCCUCAAGAACAUAAUAAUCCUAGGAUUGUCAUGUCCUUACAACUCUGCAAUGAUAAUGCCUCAUACAUAUUGGGAGCACAUUGGUCACAUUGCCUACAGGUAUACUUGAUAAGAGAAUAGCUUGCACCCAGAUUUGCCACACAGUUGGUGGCUGAAGGCUUUUGUUUGUCGUCUUCAUGUUACUACUAUGUAUUCAAUAUUCAUUUAGAUGUAAAGGACAAUACAGGCACUGAAGUACCAAAUGGCACUUGCAUUUCAGGGGACAAAGUGCCCAGCAUGCCUGUCACAAAACGUGUUCUAGGGGCUACCUUGCCUCUAUAGGUAAAUGGACACCAGAUGCUCUGUGUACAGUGUAAUCGGUGUACUUGUCUGGAGUGCUUGAAAGAUGUGCUACGGGCUGUACUGGCACUGUCUGAAAAUAAUGCAUGGUUCUAGAAAGCCUGCAGCUGAGCAUCUGCCACCAUACUGAAGGAACUGUCCUAAUUUUGUUGAUGUUGAAAUUUAGGAGCUGCAAUGAAUAGUUGUGAAGGUGGCAGUGCUGCCAAACUAAAGCACAAAUUACACACCUCAACUCACACAAUGCACUCUGAAAGUUUUGCUACGUGGUAUCUGUGUUUGCUGCCUCACCUUAUGGCACCUUUACGAGCAAUCGCAGGGGAUUGCAGCUGCUGAGGCUUUAUCAACUGGCAAGUUGAAAAAAUAAUGCUGUGCCACCAGUGUGGCUGCACAUUCCGAGAUGCAAGCUAUGUUGAACCAGGUGUUCGGUAGACAGUACCUGUACAGCUAAAACAUGGUGUUUGAGCCCUAUAGGCAACUACGUUCACAACUGCCCACAAGUGUGCUGUCGGAAAAGAAAGUUGAGAACAAGCAGCAUUUUUAGCGGGGUUCAAAACAUUACUGCAAGUCAUUCUUUCACCAAGGCUGGUAAUCAUGCAUAUUUAAUGAGAACAGGGCAUUUGUUACACACAAGGGGUCAUGUGUCAAGUUUAAUUAGAUCAGUAAUCUAUGAGAUGGAAUUAUAAAAAGUAUACCUUUUGUUCCUCAGUGGUCUCUUGGAGAGAUGACCAUUUCCGGCAGUUUAGUUUUGCCUUUUUAUGUCUUGAUUUGGUGUGCAUAUUGCAACUAUAACUAACAGUCAGUGCUCUGUCCUGCCCAGUUUUUAUGCUGUCUUUGUGAUAUUCGCAAUAUUUUGCAGUUCAGCUGCAAAAUAUUGUCUAUACUAUUAUAUAUUGUCUAUGCAAGUAUAUGUUUUUACUAUUACUAUUUUUCAUAUUCAACUUUUGUGCAGUGCUCACUAGUUAUUACUAGCCAUGUUUUGUUCACACAUGCUCUUGGAUUGUUGCGCGAAGUGACACGGACACAGACUACAAGCUGACAGGACGAGCGCUAACUCUCAACUAAAUAUUUCU